rnacentral:rRNA from 1 species
UACGUAGGGUGCGAGCGUUGUCCGGAAUUACUGGGCGUAAAGAGCUCGUAGGUGGUUUGUCGCGUUGUUCGUGAAAUCUCAUAGCUUAACUGUGGGCGUGCGGGCGAUACGGGCAGACUGGAGUACUGCAGGGGAGACUGGAAUUCCUGGUGUAGCGGUGGAAUGCGCAGAUAUCAGGAGGAACACCGGUGGCGAAGGCGGGUCUCUGGGCAGUAACUGACGCUGAGGAGCGAAAGCGUGGGGAGCGAACAGG